ACUGUCUCCCAGGGGAUGCCGUAAGAACAAUCAUGCUAGAUAUAGUUAACAUUUACUUGAGAUCUGAAGGACAGUAAGGUGGCUGAAAUAGUACCAUGACAACAAUUGGAAGAGAAGAUGAUGUUUACUGAGCAUAUCUCUUUUGGUCAGAGAUUAACAUACAUUCAUGGAUUUAGGCUGCAUAAGGUUCAAAAGUUUCAUCCAAUGUGAUAAAACUAAUGCUGGGGAUGCUAUUGUCAAUAAAAUGGCCAAGUUCUCUCCCCUGCUGGGGCUUUCAUGGAGGUAUAUAGUCAACAGGGCUGGGUGAGAUCUGUGUGUGCUUCUUUAUAUUUGAUUCCUUUUGAUUCUCAUUCAUGCACGUGGAGUUUCUACAGUAACCAAAUAUGUGAAAGCCUGGAGUUGACCACUUCUCUGAUUUUAUAAGCCAAACUUUAAAGUGUUACUAUCUAUAUAUGGUGAUUAAUUAAUUGUUCUUGCUACUUCACAUCAUGAUCUAAAUGUGGAAAAACCGGAUCACAAAUAAAGAGCUGCAAAAGUACAU